UUGCUUCAGCAGCUCGUGUACUAAAAUUGGAAUGGUGCAGAAAAGAUUAGUAUGGUCCUUACACAAGGAUAACAUGCAAAUUCUCAAAGAAGUCCAUAUUUUU